AGACAGGUGGUGCAUGGUUGUCGUCAGCUCGUGUCGUGAGAUGUUCGGGUUAAGUCCCGCAACGAGCCGCAACCCCUAUUGCUAGUUACCAUCAUUAAGUUGGGGACUCUAGCGAGACUGCCAGUGAUAAACUGGAGGAAGGUGGGGAUGACGUCAAAUCAUCAUGCCCCUUAUGACCUGGGCUACACACGUGCUACAAUGGUCGGUACAAAGGGUUGCCAAGCCGCGAGGUGGAGCUAAUCCCAUAAAAACCGAUCGUAGUCCGGAUCGCAGUCUGCAACUCGACUGCGUGAAGUCGGAAUCGCUAGUAAUCGUGAAUCAGAAUGUCACGGUGAAUACGUUCCCGGGCCUU
rnacentral:rRNA from 1 species